rnacentral:lncRNA from 1 species
GAACACAUUUUACAGAGAGGAUUAGAGAGCUCGAUGACCCACAUGGUGUGCUCUACUUCCUUGUUCCAUCUCAUGGGGAGCAAAAUCCCCAUGGCCAUUGAAGCUUCCUCUCAUGGUGUCUAUGUUUGAGGUAGUUCCUAUAGCUCUUUUCUCUUCUUUCUAGAGUAAUUUGAUCAUUUUCUUCUUGCUGUAAAUUCCAUUUUCAGUAGCCUCUUCAUACUUAUAUUCUUAAAUAUUCAUAAAUCCUGAACCCUUUGAGAAACUAUGCAUGUUUAUCAUUAUAUAUGCAUAGUCUACUUCAAUACUUCGCAGCUAGACACCAUCUUCUUUUCUAAAAUUUUCAUCACCUGAUUUCUCUGAGAUUUUUUGAUAUUCUUUGAGCGUAUCAGAAAGCAUUUGAUGAUUAUUUGAGUGUCAUUUCAUUGAUCAUUGGUUCUUGAGUGUUUCUUUCAUAAAACUGUUAAUGUUUUUUUAAGUCUAUAGCCAUAUACACUCAUAUAGUUUAAGUUGUUUAUAACUU